UACGUAGGGGGCAAGCGUUGUCCGGAUUUAUUGGGCGUAAAGAGCGUGUAGGCGGCUUUACAGGUCCGUUGUGAAAACUCGAGGCUCAACCUCGAGACGCCGGUGGAAACCGUAAAGCUAGAGUCCGGAAGAGGAGAGUGGAAUUCCUGGUGUAGCGGUGAAAUGCGCAGAUAUCAGGAGGAACACCCGUGGCGAAAGCGGCUCUCUGGGACGGUACUGACGCUGAGACGCGAAAGCGUGGGGAGUGAACAGG
rnacentral:rRNA from 1 species